rfam:Gossypium hirsutum cultivar TM-1 chromosome 7, whole genome shotgun sequence
UGUUAAAAUUUUCAUCCCUUGUACUGUCAAAAACUGACAUGGUUGAUAGGAUAACCAAACAAUGGCGCCACAUGUACCUCAUAUUGACAUUCAUGGACCAAUUUUUAACAGUAGAAAUGGAUGAAAUUUUUAACA